GGGGCUUACACAUGCAGUCGAGCGGGGAAGUGUAGCUUGCUACAUUACCUAGCGGCGGACGGGUGAGUAAUGCUUAGGAAUCUGCCUAUUAGUGGGGGACAACAUUCCGAAAGGAAUGCUAAUACCGCAUACGUCCUACGGGAGAAAGCAGGGGAUCUUCGGACCUUGCGCUAAUAGAUGAGCCUAAGUCGGAUUAGCUAGUUGGUGGGGUAAAGGCCUACCAAGGCGACGAUCUGUAGCGGGUCUGAGAGGAUGAUCCGCCACACUGGGACUGAGACACGGCCCAGACUCCUACGGGAGGCAGCAGUGGGGAAUAUUGGACAAUGGGGGGAACCUGAUCCAGCCAUGCCGCGUGUGUGAAGAAGGCCUUAUGGUUGUAAAGCACUUUAAGCGAGGAGGAGGCUACUCUAGAUAAUACCCUAGAGAUAGUGACGUAGCUCC
rnacentral:rRNA from 1 species